AUUGAACGCUGGCGGCAGGCUUAACACAUGCAAGUCGAGCGAACAGACGAGGAGCUUGCUCCUCUGACGUUAGCGGCGGACGGGUGAGUAACACGUGGAUAACCUACCUAUAAGACUGGGAUAACUUCGGGAAACCGGAGCUAAUACCGGAUAAUAUAUUGAACCGCAUGGUUCAAUAGUGAAAGACGGUUUUGCUGUCACUUAUAGAUGGAUCCGCGCCGCAUUAGCUAGUUGGUAAGGUAACGGCUUACCAAGGCAACGAUGCGUAGCCGACCUGAGAGGGUGAUCGGCCACACUGGAACUGAGACACGGUCCAGACUCCUACGGGAGGCAGCAGUAGGGAAUCUUCCGCAAUGGGCGAAAGCCUGACGGAGCAACGCCGCGUGAGUGAUGAAGGUCUUCGGAUCGUAAAACUCUGUUAUUAGGGAAGGACAAAUGUGUAAGUAACUAUGCACGUCUUGACGGUACCUAAUCAGAAAGCCACGGCUAACUACGUGCCAGCCGCCGCGGUAA
rnacentral:rRNA from 1 species